rnacentral:misc_RNA from 1 species
AUUGCCACAUCUUCUAGCUUAAAAAUCUUUAAACGACCUUCUUUAUAUCUCCUGUAAACUUCCUUUGCUAUGUCGCCGGAGACCACAUAACCAGGACCAUGUGCCCAAGGUGGGUAUUUCUCUUCAGGCCACUCCUCAAGGCUAAUAUACCAUUUGCUAUCAGUACUCCGAUGAGGUUUGGAAUCUGAGUUGAUAAGUCCAUAAAGCAAGCCAUUGCUCAC